rnacentral:piRNA from 1 species
UCAAGUCUGGACCUCCGAAAUUGCA